rnacentral:rRNA from 1 species
UGGGGAAUUUUGGACAAUGGGCGAAAGCCUGAUCCAGCAAUGCCGCGUGUGUGAAGAAGGCCUUCGGGUUGUAAAGCACUUUUGUCCGGAAAGAAAUCCUUGGCUCUAAUACAGUCGGGGGAUGACGGUACCGGAAGAAUAAGCACCGGCUAACUACGUGCCAGCAGCCGCGGUAAUACGUAGGGUGCAAGCGUUAAUCGGAAUUACUGGGCGUAAAGCGUGCGUAGGCGGUUUGCUAAGACCGAUGUGAAAUCCCCGGGCUCAACCUGGGAACUGCAUUGGUGACUGGCAGGCUAGAGUAUGGCAGAGGGGGGUAGAAUUCCACGUGUAGCAGUGAAAUGCGUAGAGAUGUGGAGGAAUACCGAUGGCGAAGGCAGCCCCCUGGGCCAAUACUGACGCUCAUGCACGAAAGCGUGGGGAGCAAACAGGAUUAGAUACCCUGGUAGUCCACGCCCUAAAACGAUGUCAACUAGUUGUUGGGGAUUCAUUUCCUUAGUAACGUAGCUAACGCGUGAAGUUGACCGCCUGGGGAGUACGGUCGCAAGAUUAAAACUUAAAUGAAUUGACGGGGUCAUAGCUG